UUUGUUAAGGUAAAAACUCGUAAAUUUUUAGUAACUUCUAUUUUCGUUUCAGUUCAAAACUGAAUUUAAAUGGAAUUUUUAAAAAACGAGUUCAAGACUAACAAAAAAUAUUCAAAUUUCUGAGUGUUAACGCGUUUGUGUUAAAUAUUCCAAGAGAAUCAGUGAACAAAAGGAAAACUCAAAGUUUCCCCCAAUUACGAAAAUUAAUUAAUAAUUAAUAAUUAAAAUUUAUUUCCUAUUUCAAUUCAUCAAAAAAUAAUCAACAAAAAUUUCUUUGUUGUACAGAACUACAUUCCAAACCCAAUUAAAUUCAAAAUGUCAAUUGAUAUGUGUUAAAUAUCACGAGACUUGACCCUUAAAAUUUGUGCUGAAGUGAAUGACAAAUACCCCUCGACAAAAGUUUAGUAAUUAUCUCUCCUAAAAUAUUUAAUUAAUCAAAAUUAUUUUUCGCGAAUGUAAUACUCCCGGCAUCUGACAUUUUUCCAUGAAAUAUCCCGAGUAAUGAGACGCCCACGUGCUCAGAAAAUGUGAAGAAAUGAACUGCUGAUACGCCCGUAGAGACCGUCACAAGAGAUAAUAAGAUUUUCCUCUUUCUCCGCCCCUUUCUAAACAAUUUUUACCCCACGCGCUAUUAUAUCAAAGCGCCGGGGAAAUACCACCAGUCAAGUGUCAAACCCACUCUCAUUCUGCAAACAUUGACAGCAAAAAAAAAUUGCCAUCUGUGUGAAAGUGAACAACUACAGAUACAACAGUUCGAAAAAGUGAGACAAGUGUGAAUCACCCCUACAACCCCUAUUCAGUGGUUGGAGAGGAUUUAUACCGAAUUCAGUGCUAAUGUGAAGUGCAAAGUUUCUGUGCUAAAUGUUCAGUCGCAAACACGGAUAUUCAUUACACUGUCAUGUAAACACAUCUCCGCCGAUACUGCAGGAAGUCUUGCACCUGUCGUCGACAACGUACCCGGUGGAAGCUGUUGUAUCGUCAUGAAGAUCCAAUUCCAACAUUGAAGAUGACUUACUUCAUGUCCCUCCGCCCCAGCGGCAAAAUAUCAACGUAUGUCGUAAGUUCACGUAAAAGCUCAAUCCAAUUAUCACCUACAUCACCUGGAACUGAAUACAGUGAGCGCACAUCCGCCAAAUAUGGCUGUGAAAACAUCCUCAUCAUCAACAAGGUCCAAGUUAAAGAUAAUGUUCAAGGAUUUACGAUGCACUCACCUAGCGCGCAUCAUUCCAGGUAUCUCUUACAGGUAUCCUAAUUGUCUCCAUGCACGACACCCUAACAGAACCAACACUCGAAGAUCGAAACCACAACUGUUUGUUUUCCAAGUAAUAGUCCAAGUUCAACUUGAAUCGAAUCGAUUUAAUCGCUUGGCGAACGUUAAUAGUUUGUAUUCGGAGUAUAUCGAUACCUUGACCGAAUUACACAAACUCAAUUAUUGAAUAAUCAACGGAACCGAAGAUAAUCGCUGACCAUCGAAGGAUCAAUCGAUCGAUUUUCAAAUCGUAAGUUUAUGACAUGGGUUACCAUUCCAUUAAUGUUAUCAGUAAUUCCUGUCCUCCAACGCGUCUCCUCAUCAUCGAGAUGCUGUCAUGAACAGGAUACGUCGUACAGUCGGGGGAAAAAGUUCGCGGCAUAUUCUCGAAAUGGUUCGGUGAGAUCGGUUUGGCUGGGAAAAUUUACCGGGUCAAAUUUUCCUGGAAAUUAUUUCCGUACGAUUGGGGUUCAGUGACGAUGGGGAAAAGAGAGAUCAGUUGACUUAUCACCCCGUGCAGUUUUUUAGGAAUAUCUUGGAAUCUAGGGGAGAUGGAAAAAUUUUUGUAAUUACCAUUUUUGAAGAACUCGAUUCGCUGCACAAAAAAGGUCCUGACGAAAAUUUUGGUAUCUUCUUCAGAUU